ncrna:Anaerococcus tetradius ATCC 35098 GP20-b RNA
GGUCAAAGCAGACCUAAAAUGCUGGAAUGUUACUAGUCUAAAGUCAUAGCGACGACUUAAAAAGCUUA